rnacentral:lncRNA from 1 species
UCAGCUCCGAUUCCUGAAAUUCGAGAAAAAACGGGUCAAAAACAGUCAAAAACAGUCAAAAAGAGUCAAAAACACCCUUCUGCCUCCCCUCAUUAACCAAAAAUGAUUAAAAUCACCCAAACUCACCCUAAUUAGCUGGAAUUUGGCCAAAUUCCCUUUGGGGUCUUCUCCACCUCUUCCAAAUCUCUUGGUUGACCCUCAAAAAUUAGUUGAUGACGCGUUAAUGAAGCCAAAUCAGGAAAAAUUAGCUCAUUUUUGCCUAAAAAUCCUCCCCUUAAAAAAGGUGGGGAAUGGUUAAAAAGGGUAGAGAAAUGGUUAAAAAAGGUGGGAAAUGGUUAAAAAGAGGUGGAAAUGGUUAAA